AACACAUGCAAGUCGAGCGGUAGCACAGGGGAGCUUGCUCUCUGGGUGACGAGCGGCGGACGGGUGAGUAAUGUCUGGGAAACUGCCUGAUGGAGGGGGAUAACUACUGGAAACGGUAGCUAAUACCGCAUAACGUCGCAAGACCAAAGAGGGGGACCUUCGGGCCUCUUGCCAUCAGAUGUGCCCAGAUGGGAUUAGCUAGUAGGUGGGGUAAUGGCUCACCUAGGCGACGAUCCCUAGCUGGUCUGAGAGGAUGACCAGCCACACUGGAACUGAGACACGGUCCAGACUNNUACGGGAGGCAGCAGUGGGGAAUAUUGCACAAUGGGCGCAAGCCUGAUGCAGCCAUGCCGCGUGUGUUAAGAAGGCCUUCGGGUUGUAAAGCACUUUCAGCGAGGAGGAAGGUGGUGAACUUAAUACGUUCAUCAAUUGACGUUACUCGCAGAAGAAGCACCGGCUAACUCCGUGCCAACAGCCGCGGUAAUACGGAGGGUGCAAGCGUUAAUCGGAAUUACUGGGCGUAAAGCGCACGCAGGCGGUUUGUUAAGUCAGAUGUGAAAUCCCCGGGCUCAACCUGGGAACUGCAUUUGAAACUGGCAAGCUAGAGUCUCGUAGAGGGGGGUAGAAUUCCAGGUGUAGCGGUGAAAUGCGUAGAGAUCUGGAGGAAUACCGGUGGCGAAGGCGGCCCCCUGGACGAAGACUGACGCUCAGGUGCGAAAACGUGGGGAGCAAACAGGGUUAGAUACCCUCGGUAGUCCACGCUGUAAACGNUGUCGAUUUGGAGGUGUGCCC
rnacentral:rRNA from 1 species